rfam:Triticum aestivum genome assembly, contig: Triticum_aestivum_CS42_TGACv1_scaffold_033494_1BL
GAAAUACUCCCUCCGUCCCAAAAUUCUUGUCUUAGAUUUGUCUAAAUACGGAUGUAUCAAGUCACGUUUUGGUGUUAGAUACAUCCGUAUCUACACUAAUCUAAGACAAGAAUUUUGGGAUGGAGGGAGUAUAAA